GGUCCGAUGUUCGGCAGGUCUAAGGCGCUGCACUCAAGUUGCAGUCAAGCAAUUGGCGUGGGUUCGAAUCCCACUCUGUUCA
rnacentral:tRNA from 1 species